rnacentral:rRNA from 1 species
UACGUAGGGGGCUAGCGUUGUCCGGAUUUAUUGGGCGUAAAGAGCGUGUAGGCGGCCAGGUAGGUCUGGUGUGAAAACUCGAGGCUUAACCUCGAGAUGUCAUCGGAAACCAUCUGGCUAGAGUCCGGAAGAGGAGAGUGGAAUUCCUGGUGUAGCGGUGAAAUGCGCAGAUAUCAGGAAGAACACCAAUGGCGAAAGCAGCUCUCUGGGACGGUACUGACGCUGAGACGCGAAAGCCAGGGGAGCGAACGGG